AAUCAACGCUGGCGGCGUGCCUCAGACAUGCAAGUCGAACGAUUAAAGCUCUCUUCGGAGAGUGUAUAGAGUGGCGCACGGGUGAGUAACACGUAAGUAAUCUACCUUUGAGUGGGGAAUAACCCGGGGAAACCCGAGCUAAUACCGCAUAAUGCAGCGGCACCGCAAGGUGACAGUUGUUAAAGGAGCAAUCCGCUUAAAGAGGAGCUUGCGGCAGAUUAGCUAGNGGUAAGGUAAUGGCUUACCAAGGCUUCGAUCUGUAUCCGGCCUGAGAGGGCGGUCGGACACACUGACACUGAAUAACGGGUCAGACUCCUACGGGAGGCAGCAGUCGGGAAUUUUGGGCAAUGGGCGAAAGCCUGACCCAGCAACGCCGCGUGAAGGAUGAAGUAUUUCGGUAUGUAAACUUCGAAAGAAUGGGAAGAAUCAAUGACGGUACCAUUUAUAAGGUCCGGCUAACUACGUGCCAGCAGCCGCAGUAAC
rnacentral:rRNA from 1 species